AUUGAACGCUGGCGGCGUGCUUAACACAUGCAAGUCGAGCGGUAACAGGCGUAGCAAUACGUGCUGACGAGCGGCGAACGGGUGAGUAAUGCUUCGGAAUCUGCCUGGUAGUGGGGAAUAACCAGUCGAAAGACUGGCUAAUGCCGCAUACGACCUUUUUUCGUAUUGGAAAUUGGUGAAAGCGGGGGAUCGCAAGACCUCGCGCUAAUAGAUGAGCCGAAGUCGGAUUAGCUAGUUGGUGAGGUAACGGCUCACCAAGGCGACAAUCCGUAGCUGG
rnacentral:rRNA from 1 species